rnacentral:rRNA from 1 species
UACCAGACUCCUACGGGAGGCAGCAGUGGGGAAUAUUGGGCAAUGGGCGCAAGCCUGACCCAGCAACGCCGCGUGAAGGAAGAAGGCUUUCGGGUUGUAAACUUCUUUUCUCAGGGACGAAGCAAGUGACGGUACCUGAGGAAUAAGCCACGGCUAACUACGUGCCAGCAGCCGCGGUAAUACGUAGGUGGCAAGCGUUAUCCGGAUUUACUGGGUGUAAAGGGCGUGUAGGCGGGAAAGCAAGUCAGAUGUGAAAACCAUGGGGUCGACCUGUGGCCUGCAUUUGAAACUGUUUUUCUUGAGGACCGGAGAAGUCAUCGGAAUUCCUUGUGGAGCGGUGGAAUGCGUAGAUAUAAGGAAGAACACCAGUGGCGGAGGCGGAUGACUGGACGUCAACUGACGGUGAGGCGCGAAAGCGUGGGGAGCAAACAGGAUUAGAUACCCCAGUACUA